GACGAACGCUGGCGGCGUGCCUAAUACAUGCAAGUAGAACGCACAGUUUAUACCGUAGCUUGCUACACCAUAGACUGUGAGUUGCGAACGGGUGAGUAACGCGUAGGUAACCUGCCUGGUAGCGGGGGAUAACUAUUGGAAACGAUAGCUAAUACCGCAUAAUAUUGAUUAUUGCAUGAUAAUUAAUUGAAAGGUGCAAUUGCACCACUACCAGAUGGACCUGCGUUGUAUUAGCUAGUAGGUGAGGUAACGGCUCACCUAGGCGACGAUACAUAGCCGACCUGAGAGGGUGAUCGGCCAAACUGGGACUGAGACACGGCCCAGACUCCUACGGGAGGCAGCAGUAGGGAAUCUUCGGCAAUGGACGAAAGGCUGACCGAGCAACGCCGCGUGAGUGAAGAAGGUUUUCGGAUCGUAAAGCUCUGUUGUAAGAGAAGAACGGGGGUGAGAGUGGAAAGUUCACACUGUGACGGUAUCUUACCAGAAAGGGACGGCUAACUACGUG
rnacentral:rRNA from 1 species